GAUGAACGCUGGCGGCGUGCCUAAUACAUGCAAGUCGAGCGAACAGACGAGGAUCUUGCUCCUCUGACGUUAGCGGCGGACGGGUGAGUAACACGUGGAUAACCUACCUAUAAGACUGGGAUAACUUCGGGAAACCGGAGCUAAUACCGGAUAAUAUAUUGAACCGCAUGGUUCAAUAGUGAAAGACGGUUUUGCUGUCACUUAUAGAUGGAUCCGCGCCGCAUUAGCUAGUUGGUAAGGUAACGGCUUACCAAGGCAACGAUGCGUAGCCGACCUGAGAGAGUGAUCGGCGACACUGGAACUGAGACACGGUCCAGAGUCCUACGGGAGGCAGCAGUAGGGAAUGUUCCGCAAUGGGCGAAAGCCUGACGGAGCAACGCCGCGUGAGUGAUGAAGGUCUUCGGAUCGUAAAACUCUGUUAUUAGGGAAGAACAAAUGUGUAAGUAACUAUGCACGUCUUGACGGUACCUGAUCAGAAAGCCACGGCUAACUACGUG
rnacentral:rRNA from 1 species